CUCUUGACCUCGGAUCAGGUAGGGAUACCCGCUGAACUUAAGCAUAUCAAUAAGCGGAGGAAAAGAAACCAACAGGGAUUGCCCUAGUAACGGCGAGUGAAGCGGCAACAGCUCAAAUUUGAAAUCUGGCGUCUUCGGCGUCCGAGUUGUAAUUUGCAGAGGGCGCUUUGGCAUCGGCAGCGGUCCAAGUUCCUUGGAACAGGACGUCACAGGGGGUGAGAAUCCCGUACGUGGUCGCUAGCCUUUACCGUGUAAAGCCCCUUCGACGAGUCGAGUUGUUUGGGAAUGCAGCUCUAAAUGGGAGGUAAAUUUCUUCUAAAGCUAAAUACUGGCCAGAGACCGAUAGCGCACAAGUAGAGUGAUCGAAAGAUGAAAAGCACUUUGGAAAGAGAGUUAAAAAGCACGUGAAAUUGUUGAAAGGGAAGCGCUUGCAGCCAGACUUGCCUGUAGUUGCUCAUCCGGGUUUCUACCCGGUGCACUCUUCUAUAGGCAGGCCAGCAUCAGUUUGGGCGGUUGGAUAAAGGUCUCUGUCAUGUACCUCUCUUCGGGGAGAACUUAUAGGGGAGACGACAUGCAACCAGCCUGGACUGAGGUCCGCGCAUCUGCUAGGAUGCUGGCGUAAUGGCUGUAAGCGGCCCGUCUUGAAACACGGACCAAGGAGUCUAGCAUCUAUGCGAGUGUUUGGGUGUCAAGCCCGAGCGCGUAAUGAAAGUGAACGGAGGUGGGAACCUUUCGGGGUGCACCAUCGACCGAUCCUGAUGUCUUCGGAUGGAUUUGAGUAAGAGCAUAGCUGUUGGGACCCGAAAGAUGGUGAACUAUGCUUGAAUAGGGUGAAGCCAGAGGAAACUCUGGUGGAGGCUCGCAGCGGUUCUGACGUGCAAAUCGAUCGUCAAAUUUGGGCAUAGGGGCGAAAGACUAAUCGAACUAUCUAGUAGCUG
rnacentral:rRNA from 1 species